rnacentral:tRNA from 1 species
GGGGUAGUGGCUCAGUGGUAGAGCUCUUGCCUUGCGUGUGUGAGGCACUGGGUUCAAGUCUCAGCUCCG